GAUGAACGCUGGCGGCGUGCUUAACACAUGCCAGUCGAACGGAAAGGCCCAAGCUUGCUUGGGUACUCGAGUGGCGAACGGGUGAGUAACACGUGGGUGAUCUGCCCUGCACUUCGGGAUAAGCCUGGGAAACUGGGUCUAAUACCGGAUAGGACCACUUCUUGGAUGUUGUGGUGGAAAGUUUUUUCGGUGUGGAAUGAGCUCGCGGCCUAUCAGCUUGUUGGUGGGGUAAUGGCCUACCAAGGCGUCGACGGGUAGCCGGCCUGAGAGGGUGUACGGCCACAUUGGGACUGAGAGACGGCCCAGACUCCUACGGGAGGCAGCAGUGGGGAAUAUUGCACAAUGGGCGCAAGCCUGAUGCAGCGACGCCGCGUGGGGGAUGACGGCCUUCGGGUUGUAAACUCCUUUCGCUAGGGACGAAGCGUUUUGUGACGGUACCUGGAGAAGAAGCACCGGCUAACUACGUG
rnacentral:rRNA from 1 species